AUGCACGCUGACAGAAUGCUUAACACAUGCCAGUCAACUUGAAUUUGGGUUUUUAACUUAGGUUUGGGUGGCGGACGGGUGAGUAACGCGUAAAGAACUUGCCUCACAGCUAGGGACAACAUUUGGAAACGAAUGCUAAUACCUAAUAUUAUGAUAAUAGGGCAUCCUAUAAUUAUGAAAGCUAUAAGCGCUGUGAGAGAGCUUUGCGUCCCAUUAGCUAGUUGGAGAGGUAACGGCUCACCAAGGCGAUGAUGGGUAGCCGGCCUGAGAGGGUGAUCGGCCACAAGGGGACUGAGACACGGCCCUUACUCCUACGGGAGGCAGCAGUGGGGAAUAUUGGACAAUGGACCGAGAGUCUGAUCCAGCAAUUCUGUGUGCACGAUGAAGUUUUUCGGAAUGUAAAGUGCUUUCAGUUGGGAAGAAACAAAUGACGGUACCAACAGAAGAAGUGACGGCUAAAUACGUG
rnacentral:rRNA from 1 species